rnacentral:rRNA from 1 species
GCCGCAGGGUGCUGACGAGUGGCGAACGGGUGAGUAAUGCAUCGGAACGUGCCCAGUCGUGGGGGAUAACGCAGCGAAAGCUGCGCUAAUACCGCAUACGAUCUAUGGAUGAAAGCGGGGGACCGUAAGGCCUCGCGCGAUUGGAGCGGCCGAUGUCAGAUUAGGUAGUUGGUGGGGUAAAGGCUCACCAAGCCAACGAUCUGUAGCUGGUCUGAGAGGACGACCAGCCACACUGGAACUGAGACACGGUCCAGACUCCUACGGGAGGCAGCAGUGGGGAAUUUUGGACAAUGGGCGCAAGCCUGAUCCAGCAAUGCCGCGUGCAGGAAGAAGGCCUUCGGGUUGUAAACUGCUUUUGUACGGAACGAAACGGUCUGAGUUAAUACCUCGGGCUAAUGACGGUACCGUAAGAAUAAGCACCGGCUAACUACGUGCCAGCAGCCGCGGUAAUACGUAGGGUGCAAGCGUUAAUCGGAAUUACUGGGCGUAAAGCGUGCGCAGGCGGUGAUGUAAGACAGUCGUGAAAUCCCCGGGCUCAACCUGGGAAUUGCGAUUGUGACUGCAUCGCUGGAGUGCGGCAGAGGGGGAUGGAAUUCCGCGUGUAGCAGUGAAAUGCGUAGAUAUGCGGAGGAACACCGAUGGCGAAGGCAAUCCCCUGGGCCUGCACUGACGCUCAUGCACGAAAGCGUGGGGAGCAAAC